UUCGCAAUGCCCGAAAGGGUGACGAAGCGACGCCGCGUGUGGGAAGAAGGCCUUCGGGUUGUAAACCUCUGUUGGGAGUUAGGAAGUGUGGAGGUGUUAAUAGCGCCUUCACUUGACUAAAGCUCCAGAGGAAGCCACGGCUAACUCUGUGCCAGCAGCCGCGGUAAUACAGAGGCGGCAAGCGUUGUUCGGAAUUAUUGGGCGUAAAGAGCACGUAGGCGGCUCUGCAAGUCAGCUGUGAAAGCCUUCUGCUUAACGGAAGAACAGCAGUUGAAACUACAGGGCUUGAGUGUGGGAGAGGAGAGUGGAACUUCUGGUGGAGCGGUGAAAUGCGUAGAUAUCAGAAGGAACGCCGGCGGCGAAAGCGGCUCUCUGGCCCGUAACUGACGCUGAGUGUGCGAAAGCUAGGGGAGCAAACGGGAUUAGAUACCCCGGUAGUCCUAGCGGUAAACGAUGGGCACUAAGUAGAGGGGUUUU
rnacentral:rRNA from 1 species